AGAACAUCUCAUAGUCUACUUUCAAUUCUACACAGAAGAUUUGGAAAACUUGUGACACCCUGGAAUAUUUUAGUUUUGGAGAAUAGUAACAUGCAAAAUUGCUUUCAAAUUUUUAAAUUAUAUCAACAGGGGGUGGGGAAGAAAUAGACUCUAAUUCCUAGUCGGUUUAUAGAUAGGGUUAAUUAUGAAUUUAUUCAUUUGACAUUGGUAUAUUGUGAGAUUAUUUAAUGAGAUCUUACAGUGCCUUCCUGCAUGACUGAAAUACAGAGUCAUAUAGAAGCUCUUACUACAUUAAAAUCUGUAAUUUAAAAUUGAAUAGCUUCAAUCAAUAUCUAUGCCAUGUUUAUUUAAAUAUUCAUGAAUUCCCUGCACCUCUAAUUUUAAUUGUAUAAAGUUACAGUUGGAUGUAAUUAAAACUAUACAUAAAUACAACACUCAGCAGUUUUGAAAAUUAUCAGGAUAAUGGUAACAUUUUCAUUAAUGGUAUAAAGAAUAUUUGAUUACAGUUUUCUUUUUGACCUAAAUUAUUAAGGAAAUUUAACUAGUUGUCUUAAAGCGUGGCAAUUUCACAAGGAUGCUUUUGUGUAAAAUUGGACACUAUUGAAUUAAUUAUUUUACAUAUGCAUUUGAAUAACCAAUUUCUGAAAAGUGUAUGUAGCUGAAAUACUAAAUUUGGUUUACAUUUUUAAUGAUCUUUGAGAGUUUAAUUUUGAUAGGAGUUGAUUCCACAAUCGGUUAAUUCUGAAACAUCUGAGGGUGAAUCAUCUUAACGCAUUUCUAUUUCUCUUUGGAGCUCAGAGCCUGAGGCAGUGGACCUUAUCUGAGCAGCUCCAGUGACCCUGAGCCUGGCUGAAACAAAAAAAAGGAAAUAAAGAGCCAACUCUUCAUCUACGUCACAAGCUAAAGAAAAGACAUUUAAUUUAUAAUUGUGUGAGCAAAAGGGAGCAUACACUUUUAUUUUCUUAAUUUACUUUGUGUUUUACUCUAGCAGAUCUGCUUCCUGUGGUCUGACGGGGACCGUAGGGGCCGGGUUUUGCGGGUUCAGAACCGUGCAAUGAGGUGAUGAGAUGGGGGAUCGCCUGGCCUCGGCAUCGGGCCUCCGUUGUUCUCAGCCACGCUGACUUGGACAUUUGCACUUUCUACACAUAUGAAUUGUGCCAUCUUCUGCUGGACUGCUGUCUGAGAGCAAAGACCUAUUGGAUUAUUCUUACAGCUUCUACAGAGGUCAGUGAGGUUGGAUUGAUUUUUCCUGUUGUCACCUGAAGGCGGAGUGCAGAUUACAGGAACUCGCAUUGGAUGUUUGACUGUGAUCUCUGAGGAAACACCUGGCUAAAGGACGAGACCCAGGCGUGGUUUCUGAGGGUCUCCUAUGGCAGAAAAGACCAAUGGCUUCUGCCCGAUGUGAGACGGAGGUUUGAAAACGAUUCAUCUGCUGUAUCUCUCCGUCUCUCCCUCUCCCAUACAAGGGGGGGCACAUACUUUGUCCAGAUUGUUCUGCACAGCGGGACUGAAUGCUGCCCUGGACAGAUUCUGAUGGGGCAAAUGGAACAUCACAUGUAAAGUUGGACUGAGACUCGGAGGCAGUCCUGUCUGUUGCCAUGGUUGGUCCUGGGAUUUCCCUCAGUCUACAGGUUGGAGACAAAAUGGCUGCCAACAAAACCUUGUAGCUCUUAAUGAUUUUUCUAGAAUUUUUGAAUUGUGUGAUGCCACUUUUUCUCACCUGAGUUUAUUUACAGCAAAUUCAUUAUCUACUGCCUUUGCACUCUGACCUCUGCCAUUUGAUCCCCAGGAUAAGUUAAUGGUGCAGCAGGGUGUUAGAACUCUCUGCAGUUUACAGAAAUAUUGUUUGCCUGAAUGAUUAUAACUCUGAUUGUCCAACAUCUGGCUAAUAUGUUUCUCUCCUCCAGCAGGACAACAAUUGAAACAGGAUAAAAGUACGGUAAAAUUGUUAAUUUCCUGAUUUACAAAAGCACAUCCAACCACACUUGGUCUAAGUUCUAGUUGGUUCAAAUUACAGUGGCUACAAAUAUAAGGACUAUUAUUUCAAGUUAUGACUUAAAUUUAUUUGGAAUCCAUUUCAAAUCUUAGGAAAAUCUACUCUUUGGAAAAUUACUCAACCAAAUUAUGGGUUUACUGCACAUAUUUUCAAUCAACUGUUAAAUUCUUUCACUGAGGUGUAAACACCCUGGUUAAAUUACAUCCAACUGUUACAGUUAGCAAUGAAAGCAAAUUUGGGCUAAAUGAUUUUCGUGGGUUUCUUAGGAGUUUCUGUACCGAAACACUAAACAGUGUUCCGAUACAGAAACAGGGGGAGAUGCAUGGAAUUACUCUAUUCAAGCAAAUUCUGAGUUAAUCUAAUAUAUUGAGAAAUUUUUCAGUUUUGGGCUUCAGCAAAAUAUAAAAGAGGCUAAAUCAAAAUUCACAAAUGUUUU